rnacentral:misc_RNA from 1 species
AUGGGUAAGGCUGCUUACAUCAACCCUCCCUGAGCUCGCAAGUGUGUGAUUCUUGGUGUACUGGGUCACCCUUUUUGGUCUUGAUGAACUCCUUGGGCUUAAUGUUAGUGAUAACUGAUCAGUGAUGCAUGGGAAGUAUGGAGCUCAUAUUUGUGUAAACUGCUCAUUUGACUUUGCCUGACUUGUAAUGUUCUCAUUUUCAGAUUGUUGACUGGCAUUCUGGUAUCUAUGGUCAUGUUAGGAAUAUUUUCUUAGCUUCCCUCCCACUUCUCAUGUCGAUGUUCCAUGUUAAAUUAUUUGCUCAUUAUUUCCGCUCUACCAUCUCUCCUACCAUUAUCUUCUAUCCUAUGGUCACAUAAGAAUAACUGAAGUUGACUACUGAAUAUUUAUUUAGGAAAAAGUUACAGGAUCAAAAGGUUUUCAAAUUUAGGGAGUAAGAUGUAGGUUGAUCUGAUUAGGCAAAUAAAUACAAGUUAGGUUCAUCUGAUUAGGAAUGGAGUCUGUGAGUUCAUUUGACUCCAGAUGUAUCAUACCCUUGUUUUUUUAUUGUCUUUUUCGUUAAUUAAUUUCUUGUUGGUCUAUGGAAGAUGUCCUUUUUUUAAAAAAAAAAAUUCUAAAUAACAAGUUAAGUAUCAAGAGAAUUUUGCUAUAUAAAAGAGUAUUUAGUUGUAUAAAUGAGCAUUUGUUAAAUGUUGUGUGGGAAUUGACUUCACUUUUCCUAUCCACCUUCCAGUCUCUUGCUGAUACCAGUGAUUAAUGGCCACUUUUGUGAAAGUUAUAUGGGCCUUCUUUUUUGAGAUCACAAUCUCUUUUAGCAAUUGUUGACACAAUUUCAAUGAGUGCCUGGGCAACUUGAACCAGAGCAUUAAAUUAAUUAGUGGCUAUUUCAUUACUUGGAAAAUGUUUGAGGUUCACAAUUUCUCAUAGAUGCAUACGUACUUUCUCACAAGAAGUUGUCAAUACAUGCAUUGCAUAGUUAACUUUGAGUGGUUUAAAAAUUUUUGUUCCAUGAGAAUUCUAUAUCUUUAUUUCUUAUUCAACUUCUUAUUUCCUCUCCUUCGAAGAGACAAUCACAUUUUACUUCUUGUUCUGAUGGUUUCUUUGUAUGUCCCUAAUGGACAGCUGCAUACAUUUCCAGAGGGAAAAGUUUUGCAAGAGGAUGCA